rnacentral:tRNA from 1 species
UGGCGUAUGGUGUAAUGGUAGCACACCAGAUUUUGGUUCUGUCAGUCAAGGUUCGAGUCCCUGUACGCCAA